rnacentral:lncRNA from 10 species
GUUUUAAUUAUGAAAUCUAAAUAAAAAUUUCCAACAGUCCAUUAAGGUUCCUAUAACAAAAUACCGUAAACAGAGGGGCUUAUAAACAACAGAAAUUUAUUUCUCACAGUUCUGGAGGCUGGGAAGCCCAAGAUCAAGGUGCUGGCAGAUUUGGUGUCUGGGGGUGGGCCUGCUUCCUGGUUCAUAGAAGGCCUAGCCAUCUUCUUGCUGUGUCUUCACGUAGCUGAAGGGGUGAGAGAGCUCUCUGGGGUUUUUUACAAGGGCACUAAUCGCAAUCACGAGGACUCCGCCCUCUUGACCUAAUCAUCUCCCAAAAGCCUCACCUCCUAAAUACGAUCACCUUGGGAGUUAGGAUUUCAACGUGUGAAUUUUGGGGGAACAGAAACGUUCCAUCCAUUGGAAUUAGGUUUGGGGAGAAACAGCCAUUUACACGGAGGAUAAUUUAGGUGGUAGCAAUCGGGAAACAGCAUUUUAAACAGGUUUUGCCAGAUAUAAAGCACACUCUCUUCUCAGAUUGGAGAGGCUAAGUAUACAAUGGAUUUAUUUUAAAUUGAUCCUCUUCCCCUCAAAAAAACCAACCAACCAAACAAAAACAAACAAAAAACCCCACAAAACCCGAACAGGUCAAGAAGAGUGACGUGUGAGAUUUUAUAUCAGAAAAGGGCUGUUGAUUUGGUUUCUCUGGCAAGCAGGCUCUGAGUAGAGAUGAAUGUGCAGGACAUCUCUCUGGGCGUGUCCUCAGGAUAAUACUCAGGUGAGGGGGCAGCUGGGCUGUGAUGCAAUCUCAGCAGGGCCUCAGCAGAACCCCAGGGGCUCUGGAGUGGUCCCCCAUCACUCUGGGAGUGCUGAGUCUCUACACUUUCUCGUUGACUAAGUACUGGGGGGCUUGACCUUGAACAAAGCAACCUUCUUGAGCUGAGGGCAGUUUUCAGAGAGGGUUGUCAGAGGACAACCUCUGUUGAGGACAGAACAUGGUGGUGCAUCACAGUCCACUACAGGGGACGCGGAUUCUAAAAUUGUGGCAGAGCCGGACAUAAUAGCUUUGCCUUAAGUUCCAGAGCCUGUCUUGCAUUGCAGUUAGCUUGAGUAGUACAAAUUGUCCGGAAUUUCCAGUACCUACUGCCUUGUUAUCCUUUGACCAGACUAGUUCUUAUAUUUACCUUGUGGGAAAUGCUUGCUUUUAAAAAAUUGAUGGUGGGGUUGGGUAGGAAAGCCUUCCUGUCUCUAAAGAUCUAUUCCUGUCAGCUCCCGAAGUGUCUGUGCCUGUGGCCUUGCUCGUGGGUCAUUCCACGGUGACUUCUGCAGCUGCAUGGGGAAAACUAGGGCUGGGAAAACUAUGGCUGGUUGAUCACAGCUUUGCCCUUUCCUCUUCCUGGAAAUUCCUGUGUUUACAAGGACUCAGAGCAUGAAGCAGUGAUCGCAUCAUGGAAAUGCAUCGGGAGAACUGAGUUAUCACUUCUCUGGGCCUCAAACUCCUCAACUGUAAAAUGAGGAGGCCAAACGGAAUGUGCUCCAAAGUCCAAUGUACAACACUAACAUUCUAUGAUUUACUUCUUCCAGUGAAAAAAGACACAAUCACAGCUCAGCUGGGUUGCAGUUUCAGUUUUCUGCACUCUGUGUCCAAUUUGGACACAGUGGGGAAGUGGUCUGUAGGUCCCAGAGAACUUCUGUUCCACUGUAUUUAAGAAUAAGCUGUAAUUGACCUUUUAGGUGAUAAAGCUCUCACUUUGGUUUUUUGUUUUUUGUUUGUUUUUGAGAAGGAGUAGUAGUUCUGUUCCUAGUGCUUGCCAUGGAGGUAUAUCAGCACUAUGCAAUGCAGGCUAUUGUUAUCUUCAUUCUACAGAUGAGGAGCUAGGCAUAGAGAGAGACUAUCUCCACCCCAGUAGAUAACCCAGGUUCUCACAGCUGAUUAAGUGGCAGAGCUGGAAUUUUCAUUUUUUAUUUUUCCCCUGAACCUGAGCCAUUCUUCUGCCUCAACCUUCCAAGAAGCUGGGACUACAGGUGCGUGCCACUGUGCUGGGCUUUAAGAGCUGGGAUUUGAACCCAAGCAGAUGGGUUUUCCAACCCAUGUUUUAAGCUCCUAGUCAACAGUUCUCAUCUUAUACAUUUGUUUAUCUAUUUAUUUUAGAUUUUGCUGUGUCCUAGAAAGAAUUUAAGGCAGUUUACAAGGAUAUGUAUAGCACGGCAAAAUAAUGGAACAGGAAACUGAAAGAGGAAAAAGCCGUCAGGCUGCAGUUCUCCAUAUUUACCACGAGAGGACAGUAUAACACCGAGAGCGCCCAGGCUGGUGGCCCCCUGCUAACCUGUUACUACGUUCAGAUGAAAUUAUAGAAAUUACGGAAAAAGCGAGGUUAGAUUUAGUAUUAAUUGCAAAAGUAGCUUACAUUUAAGGACACUAAGGAAUUAUAAUACAGCUAUAUCCUUGUCAGGCCUGAGAUUAUUCACGUCAUCAGGCCGAUUCAACUGUUUUCCCAGCAAAUAACAUAUUUUGUGAAAUUCAAUGAUGAAAGCCAGGGAUAGUAUUGCUUAAUUGUUAAAUUUCAACACUGCAGUGGGAUUCUCACAGGUUCUUUAGGUUAAGUACAACUAUCGAUUUCACUGCUACAAAACAGCCCAAGGCUUAUUUUGAAAGACAUGAUUAUAGUUUCUGCUUUUAUAACUGGUAAAGAUUGGUAAAUUAGAGUGGUGGAAUGUUUAUUAGGUAUAUCAUAACUAAUACAUGCAAAUAAGGGCUUCCAAAGAUAUUAUAUUCGUUUAAAAGAUCGUUUAAAAUACUCGUUAAAAGACAAAUGCCAAGGCAAAUUAUGCCAGGAUGGCGCUUUGCAGACCAGAAGGGCAGUUUCCCUGCACCUACUCUCUUGCCUGCCACCAUAUAAGACAUGCCUUUGCUCCUCCUUUGGCUUCCACCAUGAUUGUGAGGCCUCCCCAGCCAUGUGGAACUCACUUCUCCUUCCUGUCACCAUGUGAAGAAGGACGUGUUUGCUUCCCCUUCUGCUAUGAUUGUAAGCUUCCUGAGGCCUCCCCAGCCCUGCAGAACUAAAUCCAAAGAAGCCACUAUGCUGAAAAUACUUUGAGUGGGUUAGAGUUUCGCUCAAGGAAGUGCUGUAGUAGAAAAUGGCCAUUUCUCUGUGCUGUGUUCAGAGUAAGAGACAUGGGUGAAAGAGUUAUCCGGAAUGGAAUGCUGAGGAGACCCUAAAGGGAAUUUCCGGGUGGAUGGCCAGCACUGUCACUCGAUGAGUGGAGGAUUGACAAACUUGCCAAAUACUGCAAGAAAAGAUGUUGCUGAUCACGGAUAGGAAAUACUCCAAGUCCCAGGAGAUAGUCUGUUCUUAGGAGACUUCCACACCAAGUCUGCUGACCAGAGAAGGACCAGUCAACCACCACACUCUCCGCUGGAGCCCACUCAGCACCAGGAAGUAUUUGGGAGUUCUUCAUUCCAGACAUCUGUGCCAACAUGGCACUUGGGAUUCUUUUAAACUCCAAGUGUUGUUCAUUUUUUGUUUGUUUUUCAGGAAGGAAACAGAUGGAAAAACCUAGACUUGCUCCCUUAGAUCAGUGCUAUUAUCAAUAUCAUCCUCUGAGAGACAAAGCUGUUAAAUUACUUUGCCCAGAUGACAUGGCCAGUGAGUAUGGAGACAGACCGGAAAUUAAGGCUCUGUUCUAGAUUCUCGGAAUAUAGCAGUGAACAAAACAGAUAAAACGUGCCUGCCCCUGUGGGACUGAGAUUCUAGUGGGGAAGACAGACAAUAAACAAAGUCAAUAAGUAAAUUGCCCUCUAUAGGGAAAUAAUGUAAGUGCUAUGGGGAGAAAUAAGCAGGGAAGGGAUGAGGGAGUGCUGGGUGGACUCCACUGUGCAGGGGUGGGGUAGGUCUGCAGUUUCAACAGGGCAGGACCUCAGAAGGCCACACUGAGGUGACAUGGAGCAAAGACUUGAAUGAAAUGUGGGAGAAGCCAAGAGACUAUCUGGGAGGAGCAUUUCAGGCUCAGGGAACAGCAAAUCCAGGACAACAAGGAACAUGCCUGGUACUUUCUGGAAACAGCAAGGGGGCCAACAUGGUGGAGCAGGGAGAGUGAGGUGCAGGAGUGUGAGGGGAUGAGGGCAAGGAGUUAACAAGUGUGAAGAAGGUGGUAGUAGGUCUGAACACGUUCCUCUAAAAUUCAUGUUGAAACUUAAUCUCCAAUAGGUGAUAUUAAGAACUGAGGCCUUUUGGGAAGUGAUUAAGUCUUGAGGGCUCUGCCCUCCGUGAAUGGAACUAUAAAAAAGGUUGAAGGGAGCUGGCUUGCCCCUUGCACCACAAGAGGACACAUAGAAGGUGCUGUCUUAUGAGGCAGAGAGCAUGCCCUCCCCAGACAGAGAACCUGUUGGCACCUUGAUCUUGGACUUCCCAGCCUCUAGAACCACAGGUAAGAAAUUUCUCUUGUUUAUGAAUUACCCAGUCUAAGGUAUUUGGCUAUAGCAGUCUGAAGGGACUAGACUAAGAAAGGAGGAGAGUGGCAGAUAGUUUAGAGACUUAGAGUGAAACAGAAGACAGGAGAAUUUUGAAUGAGAAAGUGACAUGAUCUAAGGUUUUUCAAGGAUUGCACUGGCUGCUCUGUUGAGAGCAGACUGUUGGGGCACUUUAUACAUUAAAUAGAUCCCCAAACAAAUGUUUUAUCUUUCCCUGUAAACCAGGUCCUGCAUUGC